rnacentral:rRNA from 1 species
CCUACGGGUGGCAGCAGUAGGGAAUAUUGCUCAAUGGGGGAAACCCUGAAGCAGCAACGCCGCGUGAAGGAUGAAGGCUUUCGGAUUGUAAACUCCUUUUGUUAGGGAAGAUAAUGACGGUAUCUAACGAAUAAGCCCCGGCUAACUCCGUGCCAGCAGCCGCGGUAAUACGGAGGGUGCAAGCGUUACUCGGAAUUACUGGGCGUAAAGAGCGCGUAGGCGGGUUAGUAAGUCAGAUGUGAAAUUGUAUGGCUUAACCAUAGAAAUGCAUUUGAAACUGUUAUUCUUGAGUACGGGAGAGGUGGGUGGAAUUCUUGGUGUAGGGGUAAAAUGCGUAGAGAUCACGAGGAACACUGAUUGCGAAGGCGGCUCGCUAGACUGUAACUGACACUGAGGCGCGAAAGCGUGGGGAGCAAACAGGAUUAGAUACCCCAGUAGUC